rnacentral:tRNA from 1 species
UGGCUCAGUGGGUAGAGUGCUUGCCUUGAGUGCAUAAGACCCUGGGUUCAAUCCCCAG